rnacentral:rRNA from 1 species
AGGGUUUGAUCCUGGCUCAGAACGAACGCUGGCGGCGCGCCUAAUACAUGCAAGUCGAGCGAGAAGGUGUAGCAAUACACUUGUAAAGCGGCGAACGGGUGAGGAAUACAUGGGUAAUCUACCAUCGAGUGGGGAAUAACCAGCCGAAAGGUUGGCUAAUACCGCGUACGCCUCCGGAUCUUCGGGUUCGGAGGGAAAGCUGCACUGUGAGUGUAGCGCUCUUUGAUGAGCUCAUGUCCUAUCAGCUUGUUGGUAGGGUAACGGCCUACCAAGGCUUUGACGGGUAGCUGGUCUGAGAGGACGAUCAGCCACACUGGCACUGCGACACGGGCCAGACUCCUACGGGAGGCAGCAGUAAGGAAUAUUGCGCAAUGGGCGAAAGCCUGACGCAGCGACGCCGCGUGGGGGAUGAAGGUCUUCGGAUUGUAAACCCCUUUCGGGAGGGAAGAUGGAGCGAGCAAUCGUUCGGACGGUACCUCCAGAAGCAGCCACGGCCAACUUCGUGCCAGCAGCCGCGGUAAUACGAAGGUGGCAAGCGUUGUUCGGAUUCACUGGGCGUACAGGGUGUGUAGGCGGUUUGGUAAGCCUUCUGUUAAAGCUUCGGGCCCAACCCGGAAAGCGCAGAGGGUACUGCCAGGCUAGAGGGUGGGAGAGGAGCGCGGAAUUCCCGGUGUAGCGGUGAAAUGCGUAGAGAUCGGGAGGAAGGCCGGUGGCGAAGGCGGCGCUCUGGAACACACCUGACGCUGAGACACGAAAGCGUGGGGAGCAAACAGGAUUAGAUACCCUGGUAGUCCACGCCCUAAACUAUGGAUACUAAGUGUCGGCGGGUUACCGCCGGUGCCGCAGCUAACGCAUUAAGUAUCCCGCCUGGGAAGUACGGCCGCAAGG